rnacentral:lncRNA from 1 species
GAAAAUUUUAAAUGAUGUAAGUAUCUUGCAUUAUACUUCUGUAGAGCAGCCAUGGUGUUCUCAUUAUUAAAAUGAGUGUGGUUAGAUGUGGUAGCACUCGCCCAUAAUCCUAGUGGUCGGGGAGGGUGAGGCAGGAGGAUUGUGAGUUCAAUGCCAGCUCAGCAAUUUAGCAAGGCCCUAAAUAAAAUAUUUUUAAAAAGUGCUGGGGAUGUGGGCAGUGGAGAAGUGCCCUGGGUUCAAUCCUUGGUAUAAACAACAACAUUCAUAAUAAUAAUAGUAAUUGUUCAAUGCUUCACUAGAGCAGAGGUUCUCAACAAGGUAGAGGGGGAGGGUAUUUUGCCUUUUAAGGUACAUAAUGUCUAUAGAGUUGUUUUUAGUUGUCACAACUACAGGGAGUGUUAAUGGUACCUGAUGGGUUAAAGCCAGGUAUGCUGCUAAGCAUCCAAUAAAGUAUAUACAGCACUCCACAACAAAGAAGUUUCCAGCCAAAUGUGAACAGUGUUGAAGUUAUCAAACCCUGAUGACCGAGUGUGUCCUCACCCCUUAAGUAAGUGUUCCAGGUUGGAAGGGUAGAUCAGCUUGAUCUGACUGUUCUGAUCACAGGGAUGGUGGAGGUCUUCUUAUGAACUUGGAGUCCUGAUGGACUGACUUCCUCUUCUGUACUGCUAGUGGGCUGGUAGGUUGAAUGAAGAGACCUG